rnacentral:rRNA from 1 species
UACGUAGGGUGCGAGCGUUGUCCGGAAUUAUUGGGCGUAAAGGGCUCGUAGGCGGUUUGUCGCGUCGGGAGUGAAAACUCAGGGCUUAACCCUGAGCCUGCUUCCGAUACGGGCAGACUAGAGGUAUGCAGGGGAGAACGGAAUUCCGGGUGUAGCGGUGGAAUGCGUAGAGAUCCGGAAGAACACCGGAGGCGAAGGCGGCUCGCUGGGCCUGAUCUGACGCUGAGGCGCGAAGGCGUGGGGAGCGAACAGG